rnacentral:rRNA from 1 species
UAAUACGAAGGGAGCUAGCGUUGUUCGGAAUCACUGGGCGUAAAGCGCACGUAGGCGGAUGUGUCAGUCAGGGGUGAAAUCCCGGAGCUCAACUUCGGAACUGCCUUUGAUACAGCACAUCUGGAGUCCGGAAGAGGUGGGUGGAAUUCCUAGUGUAGAGGUGAAAUUCGUAGAUAUUAGGAAGAACACCGGUGGCGAAGGCGGCCCACUGGUCCGGUACUGACGCUGAGGUGCGAAAGCGUGGGGAGCAAACAGG